UACGGGGGGGGCGAGCGUUGUCCGAAGUUACUGGGCGUAAAGCGCGUGUAGGCGGCCUGUUACGUCUGCUGUGAAAUCCCGGGGCUUAACCCCGGGCGUGCAGUGGAUACGGGCAGGCUGGAGGCAGGCAGGGGAGAACGGAAUUCCCGGUGUAGCGGUGAAAUGCGCAGAUAUCGGGAGGAACACCGGUGGCGAAGGCGGUUCUCUGGGCCUGUACUGACGCUGAGGAGCGAAAGCGUGGGGAGCGAACAGG
rnacentral:rRNA from 1 species